rnacentral:lncRNA from 1 species
GAUGGGCGUGAGGAGGAUCCUAGUGAGAGAGAGCAGCAGGUUGGAGAAGGGAAUCGAGAGAACGGAGAUCAGCAGACAGAGCAGCAGUCCCAUGAUCACAUCCACUCGGGAGUUGGAGGGAAUGCGAAGCACAGGCACCGAAACUGGUAUUUAUAGUCGAAUCUCACCUUCAUCUUUUACGCAAGUAUGUAUACACGUACGUAUAAACGUACAUUCUUUCCACGUACUUUUGGUAGCGGUUUCCUGUUACUAAGUCUCCAGUCAAUAUAAACUUCACAUCACUUCAUUAAACGAGAUGUUGUUGCAGGUUCUGACUUGCAUCGGAUGACAAGUGUCGAUGAAGUUUUGACUCGGGACGUACACAUCAACCAUUAAACCGGAGAUGGAAACAAAGAGGAGUCGAAUCCACUUACAACGCAUCACAAAACGGGGAAUCGACCGCACUUAAAUGCAGGUCAAAGCCAUUGGUAAGGCUUUUAAGAUGCGGACGCAAUGUUGACACCUGUGAACGUGAGUGACACUGUUCUUAUUGAGAUCCAAAGCUCACAGUGAAGUCUGAAGUCGGGAUGAAACGAGGGAGUAAUUUGAGGCGAUGAUGUACCGAGAAAAGGGUGCAUUCAAUUGUGUGAUGUGACAUUGGGCUGUGGCCUCAUGCGUGAAAUCUGCACUGUAUUAUGUGACGAUGUAUGUGAGAAACAAGAACGCGAGAGGUGGAUGUGGACCGGUAUAAAUGAACAUUAUGUUGGUCAACAUGCUAGCUAGGUGCCCAACAAAGACGAAACCUAGUCAAUCGAUAACUCGAAUUCUUCUCUGAGUUUGAGUUGCGUGAGUGCUACAAUAGGAAUCGAACGUGUAGAACAAUUCUGAGACUUGCUGCGAAACUGUGCGAUUAGAAUAGCACAAACAGUUUCGAAUAGUGCCGAUUGCGAACCCGUAGAUUGGGGGGGG